GACGAACGCUGGCGGCGUGCUUAACACAUGCAAGUCGAACGCUGAAGCUCAGCUUUUGUUGGGUGGAUGAGUGGCGAACGGGUGAGUAACACGUGAGUAACCUGCCUCCUUCUUUGGGAUAACGUCCGGAAACGGGUGCUAAUACUGGAUAUUCACUGGUCUUCGCAUGGGGGUUGGUGGAAAGGGUUUUUCUGGUGGGGGAUGGGCUCGCGGCCUAUCAGCUUGUUGGUGGGGUGAUGGCCUACCAAGGCUUUGACGGGUAGCCGGCCUGAGAGGGUGACCGGUCACAUUGGGACUGAGAUACGGCCCAGACUCCUACGGGAGGCAGCAGUGGGGAAUAUUGCACAAUGGGCGCAAGCCUGAUGCAGCGACGCCGCGUGAGGGAUGGAGGCCUUCGGGUUGUGAACCUCUUUCGCUCAUGGUCAAGCCGCAACAAUGGUUGUGGUGAGGGUAGUGGGUAAAGAAGCGCCGGCUAACUACGUG
rnacentral:rRNA from 1 species